rnacentral:misc_RNA from 1 species
AACGCAUAUUGCGCCCCUUGGUAUUCCGGGGGGCACACCUGUUCGAGCGCCAUUUCAACCCUCAAGCAAAGCUUGGUGUUGGGUGAGGCCCUAAAAUAUUGUGGACCAGCCCCUAACUUGUAGGCGGUCAUUGUCCGCGCCCCCAGCGUAGCAGGCUCACGCACUCGCUUUGGGGAUGGGGUGAGACCAUGCCUUUACAACGCCUUUCAAAGGUUUGGCCUCGAAUCAGGUGGGGAUACCCGCUGAACUUAA